UAAAAAGGGAAAUGUGAAUGCAAAAGAGGAAGCUGAAGAAUCCAAUCCUAAACCAUCAUUGCCAGAUAAGCUGGAGACUGCCAGUGGAGAAGCUUCUGUUGUGGAAGAUAAGGAAGAACAGGACAAUGGAAAUUCGAAUAAGAGGAAGGGUGAAGAAAGUAAUGAUACUAAGGAAGCCUCAUCCGAACAAAAAAGGCAAAGAAUCAAACUUAAUCAUCUUUUAAGUGCAGAUGAUACUCAAGAAGAUGAAAACUUGUAAGGAAAGAUUUUAGCAGAAGACUAACCUUUUAAACAAGCACCCCAACCGAUGCUGCUGUAUUAAAUGUUAUACAAGUUGAGGUAAUUCUUGUGCCUUUAUUGUUUUGCUGUAGCUAAGUCGAAUAAAUUAACCAGUGAAAGUAGUCCAGUGUUGUUUUUAUUCCUGAGAAGAGAUUGAGAAACAGGC
rnacentral:misc_RNA from 1 species